rnacentral:lncRNA from 1 species
CAGAUCUCUGAUGUUAAGUUGCUGCUAAGUUGCCCCAAAUCACGCCACCCCUCCAUGCUCAUACCAUCUCCAGAAAUUGCUCAUUUCAUAUCUCUCUCUAAUUUGUGAAUCAGAACGGUGAAGAACAUCAGAUAAGAGGACGAAGAUGUAAAUUUGUGAUUUUUGCACUAGCUGAGUUUGAUUCAUCAGAUUAGAGAGAGAGAUUCGCUCUAGCUUUCAGGACCAAAACCUUCGAAUUCCCGCUGACGGAGAGGAUGCCGACUCCGCCAAGAAAUUCAUCGGAGUAAACCCACUAAUCUAGCUCAAUCCAGACCAAACCCACAAAUCUCCGAUCCGACACAUCAAAACCCAGUUCACCAACAUGAUUUCCCCCUCAAUUUUUGCACAAUUUCUGCAUUUGAAACUUCGUAUUUUCAAUUGAAAACCGCUCACGAGCCAGAAUUACAGUCUUUGAUUUAGGUAAUUUGGGAAAAUCAAUAAUUUGAUGGGUGGGUCUUCAAGAUUGGUAUUUGAAUGGGAGUUUUAGAUUGAGAAAUUUAUCUCUCUCUCUAAUUUGUUAAUGCUGGAUCUUGAUGGGUCUUUUAAAUGCUUUUUU